GAAUGUCAAACACCCACACGGUUCAAACGUGGGCGACGCGAGUCGCCUUGCCGUGGGGAACCCAUCACACAACACCUGUGCACCCAGCGAGCGUGUCCCCCUUCAAGGGGGGGAAGCGUUCACUACUCCCUUUGUAACCAAAAAGCCUGUUAACGAAGCAUGUCCUUAUCGAGCUCUACGGAGCGAGUAACAUAUAAUACAACUUUCAACAACGGAUCUCUUGGCUUU
rnacentral:misc_RNA from 1 species